rnacentral:rRNA from 1 species
AACGAACGCUGGCGGCGUGCCUAACACAUGCAAGUCGAACGAGAAAGGGGCUUCGGCUCCGAGUAAAGUGGCGCACGGGUGAGUAACACGUGGGUAACCUGCCUCUAAGAUUGGGAUAACUCGUCGAAAGAUGAGCUAAUACCGAAUAAGACCACAGUUCCCGCGGGAACAGGGGUCAAAGGUAGCCUCUGCUUGCAAGCUAUCACUUAGAGAUGGGCCUGCGCACCAUUAGCUAGUUGGUAGGGUAACGGCCUACCAAGGCAAAGAUGGUUAGCUGGUCUGGGAGGAUGAUCAGCCAAACUGGAACUGAGACAAGGUCCAGACUCCUACGGGAGGCAGCAGUGGGGAAUAUUGCGCAAUGGGCGAAAGCUUGACGCAGCAACGCCGCGUGAGUGAUGAAGGCCUUCGGGUCGUAAAGCUCUGUCGGGAGGAACGAAUGCUCCUGAGGUUAACAGCCUCGGGAGGUGACGGUACCUUCAAAGGAAGCACCGGCUAACUCUGUG